GAUGAACGCUGGCGGCGUGCCUAAUACAUGCAAGUCGAGCGAACAGAUGAGGAGCUUGCUCCUCUGACGUUAGCGGCGGACGGGUGAGUAACACGUGGAUAACCUACCUAUAAGACUGGGAUAACUUCGGGAAACCGGAGCUAAUACCGGAUAAUAUAUUGAACCGCAUGGUUCAAUAGUGAAAGACGGUUUUGCUGUCACUUAUAGAUGGAUCCGCGCCGCAUUAGCUAGUUGGUAAGGUAACGGCUUACCAAGGCAACGAUGCGUAGCCGACCUGAGAGGGUGAUCGGCCACAAUGGAACUGAGACACGGUCCAGACUCCUACGGGAGGCAGCAGUAGGGAAUCUUCCGCCAUGGGCGAAAGCCUGACGGAGCAACGCCGCGUGAGUGAUGAAGGUCUUCGGAUCGUAAAACUCUGUUAUUAGGGAAGAACAAAUGUGUAAGUAACUAUGCACGUCUUGACGGUACCUAAUCAGAAAGCCACGGCUAACUACGUG
rnacentral:rRNA from 1 species